GACGUAGGGCGCGAGCGUUGUCCGGAAUUACUGGGCGUAAAGAGCUCGUAGGUGGUUUGUCGCGUUGUUCGUGAAAACUCACAACUCAAUUGUGGGCGUGCGGGCGAUACGGGCAGACUGGAGUACUGCAGGGGAGACUGGAAUUCCUGGUGUAGCGGUGGAAUGCGCAGAUAUCAGGAGGAACACCGGUGGCGAAGGCGGGUCUCUGGACAGUUCCUGACACUGAGGCACGAAGGCCAGGGGAGCAAACGGG
rnacentral:rRNA from 1 species